rnacentral:rRNA from 1 species
GUGGGGAAUUUUCCGCAAUGGGCGAAAGCCUGACGGAGCAAGACCGCGUGAGGGAGGAAGGCUCUUGGGUUGUAAACCUCUUUUCUCAGGGAAGAACAAAAUGACGGUACCUGAGGAAUCAGCCUCGGCUAACUCCGUGCCAGCAGCCGCGGUAAUACGGAGGAGGCAAGCGUUAUCCGGAAUUAUUGGGCGUAAAGCGUCCGCAGGUGGCACUUCAAGUCUGUCGUCAAAGACUGGGGCUUAACCCUGGAAAGGCGGUGGAAACUGAAGCGCUAGAGUGCGGUAGGGGUAGAGGGAAUUCCCGGUGUAGCGGUGAAAUGCGUAGAGAUCGGGAAGAACAUCGGUGGCGAAAGCGCUCUACUGGACCGCAACUGACACUCAGGGACGAAAGCUAGGGGAGCGAAUGGGAUUAGAUACCCGAGUAGUCC